GCUGGGCAUAGUAAUGCAUGCCUGUAAUCCCAGCAACUCAGGAGGCUGAGGCAGGAGGAUCACAAGUUCAAAGCCAGCCUCAG
rnacentral:sRNA from 1 species